GUUAGGAAUAUUGGACAAUGGGCGAAAGCCUGAUCCAGCCAUGCCGCGUGAACGAUGAAGGCCUUCGGGUUGUAAAGUUCUUUAGCCGAUGAUUAUAAUGACUGUAGUCGGAAAAUAAGCCCCGGCUAACUUCGUGCCAGCAGCCGCGGUAAUACGAAGGGGGCGAGCGUUAUUCGGAAUCACUGGGCGUAAAGCGUGCGUAGGCGUUUUUGUAAGUUAGGAGUGAAAGCCCAGGGCUCAACCUUGGAAUUGCUCUUAAAACUGCAAGGCUCGAAUCUCGGAGAGGAUAGCGGAAUUUCCAGUGUAGCAGUGAAAUGCGUAGAUAUUGGAAGGAACACCAGUGGCGUAAGCGGCUAUCUGGACGAGUAUUGACGCUGAGGCACGAAAGCGUGGGGAUCAAACAGGAUUAGAUACCCCAGUAGUCC
rnacentral:rRNA from 1 species